AAAAAUCCCAAACUCUUUGUACUUCUUCCAGGAUAGGGGGAAGGAUCUCUGAAUGUGCAGUGUGGGCAAUGGUGGGGUCUGGAAGGUGGUAAUCCUGUGUUCUUCUGAACUGGGACUGGAUGAAAUUCCUAGGGGAGCAGCCAUCAGCCGCAGCAGGGGUGUUAGAGCCCCACCUGUAAUGUGGUCCGUAGGUUGAGGCAAGGAUCUGGGUGACCAUGGAGAUCUGGCGGGGGAUUCUCCAGACGUGGUGGGCUGGUUUAUUCCCGGCAUGUGAUUCCGCUUGGGGCAAGGCUCUCUCUUGGGGGACACUGGUUUCUCCGUCUUUGACCUCAUCUGGGGUACUUUAGGAAAUAUUCGUGCCUGGUUUCCAACGCCCCGGAGAUUCUGAUGUAGCGAAUCUAUACCCCCUCUCUUUCCCCAUCAAUCCCACUGCCUCCACCGCCAUGCCCACCAUCCUGAGGAAAAGGGACAGACAAGUUCCAACUCACUACAGCGCCGUGGGUUGGUCUUCUUGUGACCGCUUUACCUUUUACUCAACACACAUCCACUGGGAACCUGGGUGUUGGUGAAAACGUAGCCUCGUCGCUUAAAAUCUACACCGCUUGGGUGUUUGGUUUCAGUUGUACUGUCCGUGAGAAGAGGGAGCAUAUGGUACAAUGUGUUCAUGACGUCAAGGCUCCUGGGGACAAUGACCUCACAAGGAGACUUGUUUGUCAGCACCCUCAGAGGUAAAGCCUGUCACAAUCCCUUGGCUGCUUGUUGGGCUGGGACAUCAGAUGUGGGUUAUCCAACACACUGGACCCAGGAGCCCCGUGCGUGCCCGCACACAGACCUACCUCAGGCACCUGAAGAAACAUUCUGUGUAUCCUACAGCUAAGUCUGUGGUCCACGAGGCCUGGCUGGCCCUGACUCCAUCUAAGCAUUCCUGGGACUCAGGAAGUCCAGUUCUGGGAGAUCUCCCUCAACUGGGAGUGAUUUAUCUGCAUUUCUCCAGGAUGGCGCUUUGUAUUAUCUGUCUCCAUAUCCCUAGAGUAUAGCAUGGUACGAAGAAGCUGAAUAGGACGGGGUUGAUAAACACCAGUGUUCCUGCUUCUCGGGCCUUCGGACUCAGCCUGGGACUUAGACCAUCUACCCCGAUCCUCAGGCCUUUAGCCUUGAGCUGCAUUACACCAUCAGCUUUGCUGGUUCUCUGGCUUACUGACAGCAGAUCCUGGGACUUCCUGGCCUCCAUAAUUAUGUGAGCCAACUCUUACAAUAAAUCUUCUCUCUCUCUCUCUCUCUCGUGUACAUCCUACUGGUUCUGUUUCUCUGGAGAACCAUGACCAAUAACACAGUUUAAUGUUGAUUUCAUCUCCUCAGCCUACCGGACUGUGAGACAAUUCAAUCCAAAUAUUUCUUUGGCCACUAUGUGAUCCCCUACUGGGUUGGAUAAAGGCCCCAGGCCACUCCUGCCAUGAGUCACUAGUCCAUAUGUCUCACAGUGGCAAUGCCCCCACCCAACAGGUGCCGACUCUCUGGAUCUACUGCUCGGCGUCUUUCAGAUCACCUUUGGGCCAUGGGUCAGUUUUAUGGUAUGGCUUUAAAAUUUAAUCUUUUUAUUUUGGUAAAACAUAUGCCAUAUAUUUAUACAUAACAUAGAAUUUACCUUUUUAGCCAUUUUUAAGUGUAUAAUCUAGUGGCAUUAAGUACAUUUGCAAUACUGUGCAACUAUCCCUACCAUCAAUUUCCAGAACUUUGUCAUUAUCCCAAACAGAAAUUGUACACCUUUGAAUAAUAACCCUCCAUCCGCCCC